AUGCCCACUGUAACAUCUGUGUUGCACUGCUGGAUUUGGAUGUCUGCCUGCCUCCUCGUGCCUGUGUCUACAUUCUCAUUAAGCGCAACAGUUCAAUCUGGAAUCAAUGUCCAUCUGUCAUGUUUUGCUUCUGUCUAUGACAACAACAACAUCACUGCUGUACAGUGGAGCAGGAGUGACCUGGAGCCAGAAUAUGUCCUUUUGUAUCAGGAUGAGCAGUUUGUUACAGACAACCAGCAUCCAUCCUUUGUGAACCGGGUGGAUCUGCAGGACAGACAGAUGGAGGAUGGAGACGUGUCUUUGGUUCUGAAGGAUGUGACGACUGCUGAUAAUGGAACAUAUGAGUGUCGUGUCCUGUUGGCGGGAACAAACCGUGAAAAGAGAGCUGUUUUCAAGGGUAACCCCAUUUGCAGUGUAAACCUGAGUGUUGAUCCUCCAGGUCCCCCGGACAUUCACAAAAAGGAUGGAGGGUUCAGAAUUAGAGUUGUUAUACAUCCAGCUAGUUUGACAGUUUUUAUUUUGCUUGUUGUUGGUGCAAUUGUUGGCUGUGUGAGCUGCAGAAAAUAUAGACAACGGCAGAGUCAAAGUUCUUAGUCUCAGACCUUUAAACAGCUAAAGUGUGAGUCAAACACAUCUUGAAUUUGGUGAUCAGUGUCUUAACACAAGAACAUUUUCUUUAUUUGGGCAUGUCAAGACCUUGUAACAGAACUUCAUCAUGAUGAAAAAUAAGAAUAAUAAAGAUUUCUUCAUCUCAAAAUAUGAUAUAAUUUUUUUUUAAAUUUUUAACAUCAAGUAUAAAACAUUUUGAAUAUGACUGACGUUAUUUUUGGUGUGUCAGCCUUUCAGUCUAACUACCAUUUCAACCCUCCUACACUAUAUACACCAGCUCUUGAACUCCUGUACAUUGUAAAAUCUGCAGUGUUAAAUUGACACUAGAUAUGUGUCCACUCUUUUGAGUGUUAAAUUAACACUUUUGACAGUGUUAUAUUUCUAACAGUAGUCAGUGCUAAAGAUUAACAAUGACUAACACUGAGCAGUGCUGAUUUUCUAUCACUGGAAAAUAACUAAUAUGCUAGUAAUAUUUCAGUGUUAGAAAAACAACACUGCUCAAUGUUAGUCAUUGUUAAUCUUUAACACUGACUACUGGUAGAAAUAUAACACUGUCAAAAGUGUUAAUUUCACACUCAGAGUGGACACAUAUAGACACAUUCUAGUGUCAAUUUAACACUGGAGAUUUUGCAGUGUAGGUAUCACCACUGUGUUUCUGCUUUUUAUGCUCCACACUGGAGGUGCCAUAUAACAUCUGAUGUUAGAAACAGGUUGGAUCUGAGUAUUUACAGAAGACUUUUUGAAGCUCUCCUAUUGGUUGCUGUAGAGUUUCUUUGAUAUCAGAUACAAAACAGCUCCUGCACCUUUACAUUGUUAGGUCAGACACCUUUCACUGGUGCAGACACAGAGUUGGACAGCUAGUUGGUGCACUUUAGUGUCAGUAGAUGGCAGCACUAGACAUUGGUUUAUUGUUGAGAUGGUGGUCUGAGCGGCCAGAGCUGUUGCCACAUCCAAGAAUCACUUUUGCUGCUAAAUCAGCUCAUUAAAGGCUUCUUUAAAACGAUCACUUCACAUCUGUUACCUAAAUGCUAAAUGGUGAUAUUACAAAUACUGCUUUUUGUAUUGCAACAAAGAAAACCCUGCACGUGCGUUCUGCACACUGUUGUCAACUCUGCCCCCCACUCACACUGCUAUGACAGAAACACUUUAACAGGUGUUUACUUCAUUAUUUCACAAAUGCAUGACUAGUGCAAGAGAGCAGUUGUUAUUUUAAUGUGAGCUGACAAUAAGAAGGAACUUGAAGAAACUACACUAACUUGUAAUAACAUCUGUGUAAGACAGCUGCAGGAGCACUGAGCUGUUAAUGUGCUGCUGUGAAGGUAAGACAUUAAAAAAUGAGUUGGAAUCUGCUCAUUAUGUAUCUAUUAGACUUGUAACUAGCUGAUAAUUUGAAAAAGACACUCAGCUCUAUUUGUUUGAAACAUCAGACGUAACCGAUUUCUUUUUUGGGACCUUGGAGAGUGUAACAGACUUUGAACCACAGACAGCAAACUGCACGCCAGCUAAGAUGCGGUGUACAGCUUCUUAAGUUAACCGUCAUCUCCCAGUGCAGCCAUCCAUAGCCUAACAGACUUCAUUUCCUAUCACAAACACGUACGCACUUUGUUCAGACUUUUUUUUCUCUGAAGUUUCCAGCCACUGAAUAAUGCUCCUGCUCUUUAUAGUGUGCAGCUGUGGUGUGUAUCAGUUAGCAACAGCAUCAGACAUCUUUCUGAAACCCACAGAACCACACGAGAACAAAAGUGAGACCAAAGUUUAUUGAUUCUGCAGAAAAACUAGAUCACUGCUGUGGAGCAGACAGCAUGGUCUCCCACUUAGAAAUUAAAUAGAUCGAUAGAAAGAUCAAUAGGGGAUCAUAUACAGUGCAUUCCAUUACUGCAUUAAUGCAUUACAUACUCAUAAUAAGGCAAGCUUGCUGGCUGUGUAAGGUAAUGAGAAAAACAUGUAAAUAUAUGAGUAUUACACAUCUAUGGCCUGAGGUCUUAUGGGUCGGUUGGACCAAGUCAUCGGCUGGACUGGUGGGCCUCUUCAGUACAGAGCUCUGGCUUCACAAUCUGAACACACAAGCACACACAGUUCAAAACCUCAUGAGAAACAAUAAGCACCUGUGCACAAACCUGGCCCGUCUGUUUUGUUCAUAUACAGAAAGUGAGGAAAUGCCAGAGAACACGUCAAACCAGUUGCAGCUAAGACGUAUCUUAACGAAAGGUUUCAAUGUCUGAAGUCUCUCAGGCACAACCUUUGCAUUUUAAGUAUUAAUCACCGUAACACAUUGAAUUAUGAAUACUAUAAACAGUAUAUGUGAAACUUUAGAUCAAACAGCAUCUGCAGGUGCACCCCCUGCUCUUUGAUACAUUUCAACCACAAGAUAUAGAAGGUCUCACGCAGUUUACAGGAACAACAUAUAACAGAUAGAGACUGUUGCUGUGGGUUUUUACUCUGACAAAAGGUCAGUAUUCUGUAUCUAGGUCUCCUUUGUUUGCUACGUGUCUUUCUAUAUGUUUUUAUAAAAAGACAAGAGUGUCAUCCAUCCUAGAAAACAAUUGAAACAUGAACAUUGUAACGUGUCAUGCAUUUGUUUGUCUGAGGUUGUAUUUGAAUCAUUUUUAAACCUACUAAGGGGCGGACCUGCUAAUGAUGUCAGUAUUAAUUUAAACCGAUGAGCUCACCGUGUUUGAAUCACGUGACUUACAUUUUUCUUUUUUGACAUUUUUUAACUGGAAGAUAAAAAAUAAACUCAUCAAAAUAAACUGUCUGAGAAGUAUGAACAAAUCUCCCCACACAGGAAAAAAAAUAAAAAAUAGGCGGAGGCUGCUGCUGUGGUUUUACAGUGAGAAAACGUCAUUUUCACACCUUGCACAUCCUAUCUCACUUUUACCUUUAGAUCAUCUUGGAUUUUUCUAGUCUAUUGUUUUUUUCUUUUCUGCACAUGUGCAGAGCAAAAUAAGUGUGAUGUUGAUAAUAAGUGUGAUGCGAUGCAGAGCCCUGCUGUUAGAAUAGAACUGGGAAAAUCCAAAAGAAGAGCGUGAAAAUCAAAGGAGUGCGUAAGAGGAUGUGAAUGUUGGCCUCAUGACAAUCUUCUGCAUUUCCUUCCAGCUUUACUCUGAGUCUACAUCACUUCCUGUACUGAACAUUGUUCUUUGACUUAAACUUCACAGCUUUUAUGAGCAAGUCUCAAAGUCUGACUUGACCAGAGAGCCGCAGACAGCUCACUUGGUGAAUGGUAAUUAGACUGUUUCUUAUACACUUGAGUACUCAGAGCACUUUAUACAAAAUACAUCAUUCAUCCAUUCAUACAAGCACGUGUUUUCUGUUGAUUCAAAUUUGAUUUUAUUCCUUAGCUGUAUUAUAUAAAAGGAAGUGUGAUUUAAAUAGAAAAAUUACAGAAAUCAAUAGUUUAAUUAAUUAGUGUAAAUCGACAUGGGAGGUCUUUAUGAGAAGGAAAAUCUGAAAUGCUUAUGACAACACAGUUGUCCAAAAUUUCUGCUCUCCUUCAAAUUUUUCAAAGUCAUCCAGUGAGUCAGAUUAGAGUCUUUGCUUAUUCUGGCCUCUGAGGCUUAUGUUUGACACCACUGGUUUAAACUGAAAUGCCAGGAAUAGCUGGAAUUGUUCUGAGCCAUGAGACACAAAGGAGCAGCUGUACCUGGUCUUUGUUUAUUUGGGUUUCUCUUUAAUCUUGAUUUCUACAUAACAGAUGUCUUCUGUCCUCAAUGCUGAGUAGACGGCAGCUAAAGCACUCUCUGCACAAUGAAACACACAGAGAGGACAUCAGUGCACACGGUCAUAGAGAUACUACUGCCGUUACAUUAAUCAUUCAGAUUAUUUAUGGCGGGGAAAGUAAUUAUUAUUUUCCUGCUGAAUUUGUAAGUAUUAUUUGUACACAGAUUAGCCGAUGUGCCGGAAAGCUGAAUAAAUCAACAAAUCCACUAACUAAUCAAUCAGUUUGUUCUAUGUAUAAAGCACAUAAAGAGGUUAUAAAGUCUAUAUAUUUGCUGUAAAUAUUCAUUCAAUUUAUGUUAUUUUAUUCUAUUUAAUUUGUAUGAUUUAUAUCUUGCUCCUUUAUUUUAUAUAUUACAUUUAUAUCUUACACUCUUGCCAUUAAAGUGCACUGAUUGAAUUUUAUAUAUUCCUUUAACUUUUCUUAAGUUUUUUUUACACUGAGGUGAGUGAGAAACAGUAUUUCAGUUAUCCCGUGUGUCCAAGUAGAGAACUGACAAUAAAACAUUUUUGAAUCGUGAAUUUUUGAAAAGCCUGAAAGUCGGAGUCUCACCUUGAAGCUUCCUGUCAACAUACCGUUCCACCAAAACAAUCAGUAACACCACUAGAGCUAUGACACAGAGUGUUCCAGCAGUCAGCAACACCGGGAGAAGAGGAGAGGAAGCGGCAGUUAAGGUCAAUGUAGAGGUGGUUUUAGCUGGAGGUGUGGAUGUAGAUGGAGGUGUGGAUGUAGGUGGAGGUGUGGAUGUAGGUGG
ensembl:lncRNA